rnacentral:rRNA from 1 species
AGCGAACGCUGGCUGCAGUCCUAACACAUGCAAUUCGAACGAACCUUUCGGGGUUAGUGGCGGACGGGUGAGUACCACGUGGGAACGUGCCUUUCGGUUCGGAAUAACUCAGGGAAACUUGUGCUAAUACCGAAUGUGCCCUUCGGGGGAAAGAUUUAUCGCCUUUAGAGCGGCCCGCGUCUGAUUAGCUAGUUGGUUGAGGUAAUGGCUCACCAAGGCGACGAUCAGUAGCUGGUCUGAGAGGAUGAUCAGCCACAUUGGGAAUGAGACACGGCCCAAACUCCUACGGGAGGCAGCAGUGGGGAAUCUUGCGCAAUGGGCGAAAGCCUGACGCAGCCAUGCCGCGUGAAUGAUGAAGGUCUUAGGAUUGUAAAAUUCUUUCACCGGGGACGAUAAUGACGGUACCCGGAGAAGAAGCCCCGGCUAACUUCGUG